UCUUCUUCUUCUUCUUCAAAGCUUCUUCUCGUUUCUCAACCCAGAAAACACAGAGCAAUCAAAACCGAAAUAAAAAAAUCAUGGGUUUUUUCGUUUUUAUGCAUUUCUAACUGGAUUAAAAUCACUCAUCAGUCUCAAGUCUCAACGAAUCCCAAAUCCUUCACCGAUUUCAUCAAUUUCGAUUUGAAAUUUUUUCUGCAACUCCAUAAGAGGAUUCGUGAAGAUAUUUAGGAUCAAUUUUUCAGUUUUCGUGAAUCUCAAAUUUUAGAGAAAUUUGAAAUUUAAGGUGUAGAUAUGUCUAAGACUGAUUCUCAAGUUUCACAUAAUGAAGAUUCCUUAGCUCCACCUCCUCUUGGACCAGAAUUAGUUAGUGGGAAAUGGAGAGUUCGUGUGAUAGAUGGUGAUGGAAACAUUACAGAUGAAAGGAUUUCAGGAAAAGAAGUGUGGAGCAUGCUACAUCGACGAGUUAUAGUUGAUUUCUUAGAAGAGGACAACCUAUAAAAGAUUCUGGAGGUUUGUUUGGUUCGUGGUUAGGCUCUGAUGAGUGUGCGAGUGUAGAUGAUAAAGAUGAAGUCGUUGGGGUUGAUAGUGGGCUUCAGUCAAGAAGACAGUCCACGAGAGUCAAGAAGCCCAACAGGAAAUAUUUGGAUUAAGCAAGACUUAGUGGCUCUGCUUUACGGUUAUGCAAAUAAGUGGAAUCGCUCUUCCUACUUAUUAGGAUCCAUUUCACCUCUUUCCCUGUAAUUCCUGAAUUGUAGGAGUUGUGAUCACUCCAUUUUCCCUUUUGUUGUUUUCAGUAUUUAAGAAACAGAAAAGCCAAAAAGAGGCAAUAUCAAUUGCCCAAAAUCCAGGCUCUGAUUGGUAGCCUACUUUUAAGACUUUAAAAUUUUUUAAAUCCAUGACAGCCAUUUUUUUACUAA